ACUACGGGUGGCAGCAGUGAGGAAUAUUGGUCAAUGGGAGAGAUCCUGAACCAGCCAAGCCGCGUGAGGGAAGACGGCCCUAUGGGUUGUAAACCUCUUUUGUCGGAGAACAAAACCCGGGACGUGUCCCGUACUGCGUGUAUCCGAAGAAAAAGCAUCGGCUAACUCCGUGCCAGCAGCCGCGGUAAUACGGGGGAUGCGAGCGUUAUCCGGAUUUAUUGGGUUUAACGGGUGCGUAGGCGGUCCGUUAAGUCCGCGGUAAAAUUGCGGGGCUCAACCCCGUCGGGCCGUUGAAACUGGCAGACUUGAGUUGGCGAGAGGUACGCGGAAUGCGCGGUGUAGCUGUGAAAUGCAUAGAUAUCGCGCAGAACUCCGAUUGCGAAGGCAGCGUACCGGCGCCAGACUGACGCUGAGGCACGAAAGCGUGGGGAUCGAACAGGAUUAGAUACCCUAGUAGUC
rnacentral:rRNA from 1 species